rnacentral:rRNA from 1 species
GAUGAACGCUGGCGGCGUGCCUAAUACAUGCAAGUCGAGCGAACGGACGAGAAGCUUGCUUCUCUGAUGUUAGCGGCGGACGGGUGAGUAACACGUGGAUAACCUACCUAUAAGACUGGGAUAACUUCGGGAAACCGGAGCUAAUACCGGAUGAUAUUUUGAACCGCAUGGUUCAAAAGUGAAAGACGGUCUUGCUGUCACUUAUAGAUGGAUCCGCGCUGCAUUAGCUAGUUGGUAAGGUAACGGCUUACCAAGGCAACGAUGCAUAGCCGACCUGAGAGGGGGAUCGGCCACACUGGAACUGAGACACGGUCCAGACUCCUACGGGAGGCAGCAGUAGGGAAUCUUCCGCAAUGGGCGAAAGCCUGACGGAGCAACGCCGCGUGAGUGAUGAAGGUCUUCGGAUCGUAAAACUCUGUUAUUAGGGAAGAACAUAUGUGUAAGUAACUGUGCACAUCUUGAUGGUACCUAAGCAGAAAGCCACGGCUAACUACGU